rnacentral:rRNA from 1 species
CAGUAGCCGCGGUAAUACGUAGGGUGCGAGCGUUAAUCGGAAUUACUGGGCGUAAAGCGUGCGCAGGCGGUUCUAUAAGACAGAUGUGAAAUCCCCGGGCUCAACCUGGGAACUGCAUUUGUGACUGUAGAGCUGGAGUACGGCAGAGGGGGAUGGAAUUCCGCGUGUAGCAGUGAAAUGCGUAGAUAUGCGGAGGAACACCGAUGGCGAAGGCAAUCCCCUGGGCCUGUACUGACGCUCAUGCACGAAAGCGUGGGGAGCAAACAGGAUUAGAUACCCGCGUAGUCCCUGUCUCUUAUAU